rnacentral:tRNA from 1 species
GGGCCCAUAGCUUAGUCUGGUAUAGCACCCGGCUCAUACUCCGGCCGGUUUCGGCCGCCGGAUGGGUCACCGGGCGGUCGAGGGUUCGAAUCCCUCUGGGCCCA